GCCUACGGCCAUACCACCCUGAAAGCGCCCGAUCUCGGAAGCUAAGCAGGGACGGGCUUGGUUAGUACCUGGAUGGGAGACCGCCUGGGAAUAGCAGGUGUUGUAGGCU
rnacentral:rRNA from 1 species